UGCAGUCGAACGGUAACAGAGAAGAGCUUGCUCUUUUGCUGACGAGUGGCGCACGGUUGCGUAACGCGUAUACAAUCUACCUUUUACAGGGGGAUAGCCUUUAGAAAUGAAGAUUAACACCCCAUAGUAUCUAAUUAUCUCAUGGUAUUUAGAUUAAAACUUCGGUGGUAAAAGAUGAGUAUGCGUUCUAUUAGCUAGAUGGUAAGGUAACGGCUUACCAUGGCGACGAUAGAUAGGGGCCCUGAGAGGGGGAUCCCCCACACUGGUACUGAGACACGGACCAGACUCCUACGGGAGGCAGCAGUGAGGAAUAUUGGACAAUGGGCGAGAGCCUGAUCCAGCCAUGCCGCGUGCAGGAUGACUGCCCUAUGGGUUGUAAACUGCUUUUAUAUAGGAAGAAACCUUUCCACGUGUGGAAAGCUGACGGUACUAUAAGAAUAAGGAUCGGCUAACUCCGUGCCAGCAGCCGCGGUAAUACGGAGGAUCCAAGCGUUAUCCGGAAUCAUUGGGUUUAAAGGGUCCGUAGGUGGAUAAUUAAGUCAGAGGUGAAAUCCUGCAGCUCAACUGUAGAAUUGCCUUUGAUACUGGUUAUCUUGAAUUAUUGUGAAGUGGUUAGAAUAUGUAGUGUAGCGGUGAAAUGCAUAGAUAUUACAUAGAAUACCAAUUGCGAAGGCAGAUCACUAACAAUAUAUUGACACUGAUGGACGAAAAGCGUGGGGAGCGA
rnacentral:rRNA from 1 species